CGGGAUUGUGGCUGGUUUCCUUUAUUGGAAUCUGACCACGAGAACCUGUCUAAACCUUAUCAUUUAGAGGAAGGUGAAGUCGUAACAAGGUUUCCGUAGGUGAACCUGCGGAAGGAUCA
rnacentral:rRNA from 1 species